AUUGAACGCUGGCGGCAGGCCUAACACAUGCAAGUCGAACGGUAACAGGAGGCAUCUUGCUGCUUCGCUGACGAGUGGCGGACGGGUGAGUAAUGUCUGGGAAGCUGCCUGAUGGAGGGGGAUAACUACUGGAAACGGUAGCUAAUACCGCAUAAUGUCGCAAGACCAAAGAGGGGGACCUUCGGGCCUCUUGCCAUCGGAUGUGCCCAGAUGGGGUUAGCUUGUUGGUGGGGUAACGGCACACCAAGGCGACGAUCCCUAGCUGGUCUGAGAGGAUGACCCGCCACAACGGGACUGAGACACGGAACAGACCCCUUAGGGAGGGCGCAGUGGGGAAUAUUGCGCAAAGGGCGCAAGCCUGAUGCAGCCAUGCCGCGUGUAUGAAGAAGGCCUUCGGGUUGUAAAGUACUUUCAGCGGGGAGGAAGGGAGUAAAGUUAAUACCUUUGCUCAUUGACGUUACCCGCAGAAGAAGCACCGGCUAACUCCGUG
rnacentral:rRNA from 1 species